UCUACAGAACCAGAACUAAGAUGAAUCAAGAUCCUCUGAAAACUGGAGACUUCAGUCUGACUCUGGAACAUCCCAAACAUGGAGACAGUGGACGGUACAAAUGUAGAGUCUGGAGGGGAGACGAUUUCAUGAGAUGUAAAACAGUUCAGCUGAAAGUCAAAGGGAGAGUUCAGGUCCAGGAUCAGAAGACAUCAGGAACAGAAGCAGAUCCGACUCCUCUGAUGGCUGAUCAAUCAGUCUGAUCUUUGAUUAUUGAUCCAAUCUGACUUUGGAUCAGAGAGAAAAUAUCAGUGAAGGAUCUGAUGGACGAUGGAUGAAGAGAGGACUUGUUCCAGCCUGCAGACGUAGUAUUGAUCAGUAGUGAUCAGUGAUGUCAGAGUGGAGUCAGUGUGAUGUCACAUGUUGAUCAGCUGUGUGUUUUGGACUCCAGCAUCUUGUUGUUGUUUGUUUUAGACUCUUAGUGUCAUGAAGGCGUCCUGCCGUAGAUCCUGUUAACUGUGACAGAGGUCUCACUCUGGACCAAACUUUCCAGCAUCGUGGAGGACGUUCCCUCACCGUAACAUCUGGAGGAAGAGGAGAGAGAACUUUCCAGAUGUUCCCUCACCGUAACAUCUGGAGGAAGAGGAGAGGGAACUUUCCAGAUGUUCCCUCACCGUAACAUCUGGAGGAAGAGGAGAGGGAACUUUCCAGAUGUUCCCUCACCGUAACAUCU